rnacentral:tRNA from 1 species
GCCCGGCUAGCUCAAUCGGUAGAGCGUGAGACUCUUAAUUACAGAGUACUCCGUAGUAAAUCUCAAGGUUGUGGGUUCGACCCCCACGUCGGGCU